CAGUAGCCGCGGUAAUACGAAGGGGGCUAGCGUUGUUCGGAAUUACUGGGCGUAAAGCGCACGUAGGCGGAUAUUUAAGUCAGGGGUGAAAUCCCAGAGCUCAACUCUGGAACUGCCUUUGAUACUGGGUAUCUUGAGUAUGGAAGAGGUGAGUGGAAUUCCGAGUGUAGAGGUGAAAUUCGUAGAUAUUCGGAGGAGCACCAGUGGCGAAGGCGGCUCACUGGUCCAUUACUGACGCUGAGGUGCGAAAGCGUGGGGAGCAAACAGGAUUAGAUACCCCGGUAGUCCCUGUCUCUUAUAC
rnacentral:rRNA from 1 species